GACGAACGCUGGCGGCGUGCUUAACACAUGCAAGUCGAACGGUGAAGCGCCUUCCUUUUUGGUGGGUGUGGAUGAGUGGCGAACGGGUGAGUAACACGUGAGUAACCUGCCCCCUUCUUCUGGAUAACCGCAUGAAAGUGUGGCUAAUACGGGAUAUUCUGGGUCUGUCGCAUGAUGGGUCUGGGAAAGAUAUUGUUUCGGUGGGGGAUGGGCUCGCGGCCUAUCAGCUUGUUGGUGGGGUGAUGGCCUACCAAGGCGGUGACGGGUAGCCGGCCUGAGAGGGUGGACGGUCACACUGGGACUGAGACGCGGCCCAGACUCCUACGGGAGGCAGCAGUGGGGAAUAUUGCACAAUGGGCGCAAGCCUGAUGCAGCGACGCCGCGUGAGGGAUGGAGGCCUUCGGGUUGUGAACCUCUUUCGCCAGUGAAGCAGGCCUGCCUCGUUUGUGGGUGGGUUGACGGUAGCUGAAUAAGAAGCGCCGGCUAACUACGUG
rnacentral:rRNA from 1 species